GGCCUCGUAGCUCAGUGGAUUAGAGCGCUUCCCUGCGGAGGAAGAGGUCGUGCGUUCGAAUCGCACCGAGGUCGCCA
rnacentral:tRNA from 1 species